CUCACAUACUUGCCUUCAGUGGUAAAGGAUGGAAAGGCUGCCUGCUACCAAUCAGCAAGUGGUUGCUAUGGUUACAAGAAAGAAGUGACUAUGGAGAGCUGUCUGGUAUUCUGGAUGAAGAAGAAUGAAAAUAACACUGAACAAAGUGCUCUUCUGGAGAACCAACCUGAAGGAAAGAAGAACGCUGAUUGGAACAGGAAUAGAGGAAAGAAACAAGGAUAAUCAGGGAAGGAGGAGAGACACUGCAAGAGAUUGGAAUGUUCAGUCUAAAAGAAUGAAAGCUAAACACAGAACAUCAGAAUUUUUAAACAGCAGGCAAUUGGGUGUCAACUUUCUCAACUGUUCCUGAACAAAUUUUUGUCUGGAAAUAGUAAGAUGAUUUCUGCCUAUCACAGAUUCUGAAACAUACUUUUGAUGAGAGAAGGAACUAAGUUCCCAAUCAAUUAAGAUACCAGUAGAUGAACAGGAUGACACAUCAUGUGCUUUUGUGAUAGCAGAGACUUGAUAUGAUGAGACAGUUUUCCCUUACGGUCUAAAAUCAAGAAGUAAAUUAUUAUAAUUUUAAAAACUUAGUAAAAUAUACACAUUGAUUGGAGCAGCAAGUUCAAGGCACAGAACAAAUAACUCAGAUCUGUUAAAAUAUCUUACUCAGCCCACCCAACAAAAAGUCUGAAUUAAGCUUUUUCAGUAUUAAAACCUAAUAAUACCUUCAGUUCUCUGAAAAGUUGUAACUGAUCUGGCUAGGCUGUAGUUUUUGGCAAAUUAUUUUGCUGAUUGAAAGUUUCUCUUAUUUUUGUAU
ensembl:lncRNA